rnacentral:rRNA from 1 species
GAUGAACGCUGGCGGCGUGCCUAAUACAUGCAAGUCGAGCGAACAGACGAGGAGCUUGCUCCUCUGACGUUAGCGGCGGACGGGUGAGUAACACGUGGAUAACCUACCUAUAAGACUGGGAUAACUUCGGGAAACCGGAGCUAAUACCGGAUAAUAUAUUGCACCGCAUGGUUCAAUAGUAAAAGACGGUUUUGCUGUCACUUAUAGAUGGAUCCGCGCCGCAUUAGCUAGUUGGUAAGGUAACGGCUUACCAAGGCAACGAUGCGUAGCCGACCUGAGAGGGUGAUCGGCCACACUGGAACUGAGACAGGGUCCAGACUCCUACGGGAGGCAGCAGUAGGGAAUCUUCCGCAAUGGGCGAAAGCCUGACGGAGCAACGCCGCGUGAGUGAUGAAGGUCUUCGGAUCGUAAAACUCUGUUAUUAGGGAAGAACAAAUGUGUAAGUAACUAUGCACGUCUUGACGGUACCUAAUCAGAAAGCCACGGCUAACUACGUG